UGAGGAAUAUUGGACAAUGGUCGGAAGACUGAUCCAGCCAUGCCGCGUGCAGGAAGACGGCCUUAUGGGUUGUAAACUGCUUUUGCAGGGGAAGAAUAAGGACUACGUGUAGUUUGAUGACGGUACUCUGCGAAUAAGCAUCGGCUAACUCCGUGCCAGCAGCCGCGGUAAUACGGAGGAUGCGAGCGUUAUCCGGAAUCAUUGGGUUUAAAGGGUCCGUAGGCGGGCUAAUAAGUCAGAGGUGAAAGCGCUCAGCUCAACUGAGCAACUGCCUUUGAAACUGUUAGUCUUGAAUGGUUGUGAAGUAGUUGGAAUGUGUAGUGUAGCGGUGAAAUGCUUAGAUAUUACACAGAACACCGAUAGCGAAGGCAUAUUACUAACAAUUAAUUGACGCUGAUGGACGAAAGCGUGGGGAGCGAACAGGAUUAGAUACCCUGGUAGUCCACGCUGUAAACGAUGGAUACUAGCUGUUUGGUUGUUAAGACUGAGUGGCUAAGCGAAAGUGAUAAGUAUCCCACCUGGGGAGUACGCACGCAAGUGUG
rnacentral:rRNA from 1 species